CCUACGGGAGGCAGCAGUGAGGAAUAUUGGUCAAUGGUCGGGAGACUGAACCAGCCAAGCCGCGUGAGGGAGGAAGGUACAGAGUAUCGUAAACCUCUUUUGUCAGGGAACAAAGACUGGGACGCGUCCCCGGAUGAGUGUACCUGAAGAAAAAGCAUCGGCUAACUCCGUGCCAGCAGCCGCGGUAAGACGGAGGAUGCGAGCUUUAUCCGGAUUUAUUGGGUUAAAGGGGUGCGCAGGCGGUCUGUUAAGUCAGCGGACAAAGCCCGGGGCUCAACCCCGGCCCGCCGUUGAAACUGGCAGUCUCGAGUUGGAGAGAAGUAUGCGGAAUGCGCGGUGUAGCGGUGAAAUGCAUAGAUAUCGCGCAGAACUCCGAUUGCGAAGGCAGCAUGCCGGCUCCACACUGACGCUGAGGCACGAAAGCGUGGGUAUCGAACAGGAUUAGAUACCCCAGUAGUC
rnacentral:rRNA from 1 species